rnacentral:rRNA from 3 species
AAAUUGAAGAGUUUGAUCAUGGCUCAGAUUGAACGCUGGCGGCAGGCCUAACACAUGCAAGUCGAACGGUAACAGGAAGCAGCUUGCUGCUUCGCUGACGAGUGGCGGACGGGUGAGUAAUGUCUGGGAAACUGCCUGAUGGAGGGGGAUAACUACUGGAAACGGUGGCUAAUACCGCAUAAUGUCGCAAGACCAAAGAGGGGGACCUUCGGGCCUCUUGCCAUCAGAUGUGCCCAGAUGGGAUUAGCUUGUUGGUGAGGUAACGGCUCACCAAGGCGACGAUCCCUAGCUGGUCUGAGAGGAUGACCAGCCACACUGGAACUGAGACACGGUCCAGACUCCUACGGGAGGCAGCAGUGGGGAAUAUUGCACAAUGGGCGCAAGCCUGAUGCAGCCAUGCCGCGUGUAUGAAGAAGGCCUUCGGGUUGUAAAGUACUUUCAGCGGGGAGGAAGGUGUUG